GUACACAAAAAUGCACAUGCUGUGAGCUCGAUGAGUAGGGCGGGACACGUGGUAUCCUGUCUGAAUAUGGGGGGACCAUCCUCCAAGGCUAAAUACUCCUGACUGACCGAUAGUGAACCAGUACCGUGAGGGAAAGGCGAAAAGAACCCCGGCGAGGGGAGUGAAAAAGAACCUGAAACCGUGUACGUACAAGCAGUGGGAGCACAGAGCAAUCUGUGUGACUGCGUACCUUUUGUAUAAUGGGUCAGCGACUUAUAUUCUGUAGCAAGGUUAACCGAAUAGGGGAGCCGAAGGGAAACCGAGUCUUAACUGGGCGUUAAGUUGCAGGGUAUAGACCCGAAACCCGGUGAUCUAGCCAUGGGCAGGUUGAAGGUUGGGUAACACUAACUGGAGGACCGAACCGACUAAUGUUGAAAAAUUAGCGGAUGACUUGUGGCUGGGGGUGAAAGGCCAAUCAAACCGGGAGAUAGCUGGUUCUCCCCGAAAGCUAUUUAGGUAGCGCCUCGUGAAUUCAUCUCCGGGGGUAGAGCACUGUUUCGGCAAGGGGGUCAUCCCGACUUACCAACCCGAUGCAAACUGCGAAUACCGGAGAAUGUUAUCACGGGAGACACACGGCGGGUGCUAACGUCCGUCGUGAAGAGGGAAACAACCCAGACCGCCAGCUAAGGUCCCAAAGUCAUGGUUAAGUGGGAAACGAUGUGGGAAGGCCCAGACAGCCAGGAUGUUGGCUUAGAAGCAGCCAUCAUUUAAAGAAAGCGUAAUAGCUCACUGGUCGAGUCGGCCUGCGCGGAAGAUGUAACGGGGCUAAACCAUGCACCGAAGCUGCGGCAGCGACACUGUGUGUUGUUGGGUAGGGGAGCGUUCUGUAAGCCUGUGAAGGUGUGCUGUGAGGCAUGCUGGAGGUAUCAGAAGUGCGAAUGCUGACAUAAGUAACGAUAAAGCGGGUGAAAAGCCCGCUCGCCGGAAGACCAAGGGUUCCUGUCCAACGUUAAUCGGGGCAGGGUGAGUCGACCCCUAAGGCGAGGCCGAAAGGCGUAGUCGAUGGGAAACAGGUUAAUAUUCCUGUACUUGGUGUUACUGCGAAGGGGGGACGGAGAAGGCUAUGUUGGCCGGGCGACGGUUGUCCCGGUUUAAGCGUGUAGGCUGGUUUUCCAGGCAAAUCCGGAAAAUCAAGGCUGAGGCGUGAUGACGAGGCACUACGGUGCUGAAGCAACAAAUGCCCUGCUUCCAGGAAAAGCCUCUAAGCAUCAGGUAACAUCAAAUCGUACCCCAAACCGACACAGGUGGUCAGGUAGAGAAUACCAAGGCGCUUGAGAGAACUCGGGUGAAGGAACUAGGCAAAAUGGUGCCGUAACUUCGGGAGAAGGCACGCUGAUAUGUAGGUGAAGUCCCUCGCGGAUGGAGCUGAAAUCAGUCGAAGAUACCAGCUGGCUGCAACUGUUUAUUAAAAACACAGCACUGUGCAAACACGAAAGUGGACGUAUACGGUGUGACGCCUGCCCGGUGCCGGAAGGUUAAUUGAUGGGGUCAGCGCAAGCGAAGCUCUUGAUCGAAGCCCCGGUAAACGGCGGCCGUAACUAUAACGGUCCUAAGGUAGCGAAAUUCCUUGUCGGGUAAGUUCCGACCUGCACGAAUGGCGUAAUGAUGGCCAGGCUGUCUCCACCCGAGACUCAGUGAAAUUGAACUCGCUGUGAAGAUGCAGUGUACCCGCGGCAAGACGGAAAGACCCCGUGAACCUUUACUAUAGCUUGACACUGAACAUUGAGCCUUGAUGUGUAGGAUAGGUGGGAGGCUUUGAAGUGUGGACGCCAGUCUGCAUGGAGCCGACCUUGAAAUACCACCCUUUAAUGUUUGAUGUUCUAACGUGGACCCGUGAUCCGGGUUGCGGACAGUGUCUGGUGGGUAGUUUGACUGGGGCGGUCUCCUCCUAAAGAGUAACGGAGGAGCACGAAGGUUGGCUAAUCCUGGUCGGACAUCAGGAGGUUAGUGCAAUGGCAUAAGCCAGCUUGACUGCGAGCGUGACGGCGCGAGCAGGUGCGAAAGCAGGUCAUAGUGAUCCGGUGGUUCUGAAUGGAAGGGCCAUCGCUCAACGGAUAAAAGGUACUCCGGGGAUAACAGGCUGAUACCGCCCAAGAGUUCAUAUCGACGGCGGUGUUUGGCACCUCGAUGUCGGCUCAUCACAUCCUGGGGCUGAAGUAGGUCCCAAGGGUAUGGCUGUUCGCCAUUUAAAGUGGUACGCGAGCUGGGUUUAGAACGUCGUGAGACAGUUCGGUCCCUAUCUGCCGUGGGCGCUGGAGAACUGAGGGGGGCUGCUCCUAGUACGAGAGGACCGGAGUGGACGCAUCACUGGUGUUCGGGUUGUCAUGCCAAUGGCACUGCCCGGUAGCUAAAUGCGGAAGAGAUAAGUGCUGAAAGCAUCUAAGCACGAAACUUGCCCCGAGAUGAGUUCUCCCUGACCCUUUAAGGGUCCUGAAGGAACGUUGAAGACGACGACGUUGAUAGGCCGGGUGUGUAAGCGCAGCGAUGCGUUGAGCUAACCGGUACUAAUGAACCGUGAGGCUUAACCUUACAACGCCGAAGGUGUUU
rnacentral:rRNA from 1 species